ACGCUAGCCUGUCUCAACUCUACACAGAGUCUCAACUCUACACAGAGUUGCACAGAGGAGGUGCUAAAAAAUGACCCGGAAAGUAGCUGCAACAAAUGUCCAGCAGGCUUUCACAAAGAAAUGAAUACCUCCAAAUGCAGAAAAUGUAUCGGCCAGACAUUCACAGCGAUAGUAAAUGAACUGUCAACUUGUCAUCGCUGUAAAAAAUGUGAUAUAGGAGUAUCUCAAGAGGAGAAGAAAGGUUGUGAGCCCAAGAGUGACAUUGUAUGUGGCUGCAAGGAGGGAUUCUACCCAACGAACCUCAACAAGGACUUGUACUGUGAAUCAUGCUCCAAAUGCAAAAACUGUA